rnacentral:misc_RNA from 1 species
UCCGUAUCUCCAGGCUUCCCCGGGAGGGGAGGGCCAGGGUGUUGGGUUGUGCCGUCCCCCCGUGUUGACUUUGGGGGGAUGGGCCUCAAACAGAGUGGCAGUACCGCUUCCGGUCCUGGAGCACGAUGGGGUGGUUGUCACCGGCUCUGGAGGACCGGAUCCGGGUUGCUGGCCGGGCCGUUUGAUUCUAUCU